UGUUUUGUUCAUUUUGGUGAUGCUUCACUUGCUAGGAAUGAGUCCACAAUGUUGAGGGGCAAACUAAUAAACGUAAAAAAUUAGCAUGUGUGGAGCUUGCUUGAUAAAACAUUCUGCAUUGCCUGACUUUGACCAGCUGAGGCCAUGCUUUCCCCAGAACAGGUGCGAGAAAAGAGAACGAGUGUUUAUUACUGGGAAAAGAGGUCUGUCCCAGUGAUCAGUCAUAAAAGAACGAUGUGUGUCUGGGCUUUGAAGAUUGAGCAGGAGCUGCAUGUGAUUCUGGACAAUGGGAAAUCUUUAGGACUCAGUAACAGGUAGGUCAUCCUUCCAGUCUUCCAGCCUUCUUUAUAGCAAUCAA